rnacentral:rRNA from 1 species
UACGUAGGCAGCAAGCGUUGUUCGGAAUUACUGGGCGUAAAGAGUGUGUAGGCGGUGUUCUAAGUCUGUUGUGAAAUCUCCCGGCUUAACUGGGAGGGUGCGGCGGAAACUGGAAUGCUAGAGGAUGGGAGAGGUAAGCGGAAUUCCUGGUGUAGCGGUGAAAUGCGUAGAUAUCAGGAGGAACACCUGUGGUGUAGACAGCUUACUGGACCACCUCUGACGCUGAGACACGAAAGCGUGGGGAGCAAACAGG